rnacentral:rRNA from 1 species
UACGUAGGGGGCAAGCGUUGUCCGGAUUUAUUGGGCGUAAAGCGCGUGUAGGCGGCAAGGUGUGUCGUGCGUGAAAUCUCCCGGCAUAACUGGGAGGGGCCGUGCGAAACUGCCUCGCUUGAGGUCGGAAGGGGAAAGUGGAAUUCCGGGUGUAGUGGUGGAAUACGUAGAUAUCCGGAGGAACACCAGCGGCGAAGGCGGCUUUCUGGUCCGAUUCUGACGCUGAGACGCGAAAGCGUGGGGAGCGAUCCGG